rnacentral:rRNA from 1 species
GAUGAACGCUAGCGGCAGGCCUAAUACAUGCAAGUCGAACGGGAUCCAGAUCAAAGCUUGCUUUGGUCUGGUGAGAGUGGCGCACGGGUGCGUAACGCGUGAGCAACCUACCCUUGUCAGGGGGAUAGCCCGGCGAAAGUCGGAUUAAUACCGCAUGACAUCAUUGAGAGGCAUCUUUCGAUGAUCAAAGAUUUAUCGGACAAGGAUGGGCUCGCGUGACAUUAGCUAGUUGGUAAGGUAACGGCUUACCAAGGCUGCGAUGUCUAGGGGCUCUGAGAGGAGAAUCCCCCACACUGGUACUGAGACACGGACCAGACUCCUACGGGAGGCAGCAGUAAGGAAUAUUGGUCAAUGGACGGAAGUCUGAACCAGCCAUGCCGCGUGCAGGAAGACGGCCCUAUGGGUGGUAAACUGCUUUUAUACGGGAACAAACGUCGGUACGUGUACCGGUCUGAGUGUACCGUAAGAAUAAGGAUCGGCUAACUCCGUG